AUUGAACGCUGGCGGCAGGCCUAACACAUGCAAGUCGAGCGGAUGACGGGAGCUUGCUCCUUGAUUCAGCGGCGGACGGGUGAGUAAUGCCUAGGAAUCUGCCUGGUAGUGGGGGACAACGUUUCGAAAGGAACGCUAAUACCGCAUACGUCCUACGGGAGAAAGCAGGGGACCUUCGGGCCUUGCGCUAUCAGAUGAGCCUAGGUCGGAUUAGCUAGUUGGUGAGGUAAUGGCUCACCAAGGCGACGAUCCGUAACUGGUCUGAGAGGAUGAUCAGUCACACUGGAACUGAGACACGGUGCAGACUCCUACGGGAGGCAGCAGUGGGGAAGAUUGGACAAUGGGCGAAAGCCUGAUCCAGCCAUGCCGCGUGUGUGAAGAAGGUCUUCGGAUUGUAAAGCACUUUAAGUUGGGAGGAAGGGCAGUAAGCUAAUACCUUGCUGUUUUGACGUUACCGACAGAAUAAGCACCGGCUAACUCUGUGCCAGCCGCCGCAGUAACAC
rnacentral:rRNA from 1 species